UCCCUAUCGUCUAGAGGCCUAGGACAUCGCCCUUUCACGGCGGUAACCGGGGUUCGAAUCCCCGUAGGGACGCCAA
rnacentral:tRNA from 1 species